rnacentral:lncRNA from 1 species
CUAUCUUCAACUGCCUGUUAGGCCUAAGUAUGUAGGGUCCAAGAUGAUUUUCUCUUUUAAAAUCAUGGCAACCACAAAUCCUUUGGAUGUGAUGGCAGGAGUAGCAGCAGUGACAGCAUAAACUUCUCUCUAAAAAUAAAAAGUUUAAAAGUUAAAGUUAAUAAUGACAACACAGAACUUAAAAAUCAGUUAACAAAAUGCCUAACAGAAUUAACUGUUGUCUCAACGGAUGUUUUUGUGUUACAUUGGAGAGCAGAAUCCAAAAGAAAUAAUCCUCAAGUUUAUUUCCUUAAGCAGCCUGAAAUGUUCAUUUCCCAGUAAAGUCCUAAAAGGGAAAUAUUUACUAAUGCUCAUUUACGUUUUACGUAGGAAUCUCUGAAAUAUAAAUAGCAUUUUCAUUAUUUCAUUAUUUUAUUUAAAGAUAUUUCAUAGUUAGUUUUACCUGAUUUUAGUUUUUUUGAUAGUCUCAUAGCUAACUAAUCAGGUAUUUUUAAAAUAUUUCUAACAGUAUAUCAAGUAACAUAAUAAUAAAGUGUUUAGGAUAUUACAUCAUUGAUAUUUGAUACAGAACUUUCAAAUUGUGUUAUUUGAGGAAAUAUACUUAUUCACUUUCUUAUAUGGCUUGAAUGGUGCUCAUUUUUCUGAGAGAGUGAGUUAGCUUCAGGAAUUUUCCUCGGUGCAUUUCUCUGUAGUCUUCUGGAAUAGUCUCCCCCUUUUCCCUCUUCUACAGUUGUCAGCUAUCUCAAAUGAAACAUCAGGUUACUCUUUGCUCACCAGAGGGUAUCAUGACAAAAAUGACCAGACAUUUGUUGAACCAGUAAAGCAGUGCACUAAUAUACCCAAUGUAUAAACUCAUUUUAAAGACCAAAUUCUCUUCAUUUUCUAAAUUUUCUUCAGUGAACAUUUUGUACAUACUAUCUUUCACAAUGCAAUAUAAGAAACCAACAAAGAACAUUAGCUUACUUAUAAAUUUCUAGUAUUCAAUAUUCAAUGCAGAUUUUUUCUAAGCUCAGAGAACUGGGAUUAUAUAGCUGAAACUACUUUUCAGCUGCAUCAUUUCUUUAGUACUGCUAUCACCAAUCACUAGAUGAGAACUAAAUAUGUAGUUUUACACAAUGCACAAACUGUUCUACAUUUCUUCUGGUAGAAAUUCUAGAGUAAAGCAGUUGUCCAUAAAUCCAUAAGCUGUUCAAAGUUUUGUCUUGCUAUUAUUCAUUUUCUUAGCCAGUUAGUAAAGACUGGCUAAAAUCUAGCUGAUACUAAGCUAGUCUUCACCAGUAUAACUAUGCCACCUAUUAAAAUUUUAAAAGACUUACUAUGUUAAAAGGAGCUGUCAUGAGCCUCUUGGAACCAUACUUCCCUCUAGGAACCCCUUAGUUCUGAAAAUACGGCAACUAAAGACCAACCUAUGGCAUUCUGUGGGGUUUGGGGACCCUUCCCUGCGCUAAACAUAUCAGGCAUCUCUGCUGGCUAAUAAAAUCCUAAGCAUACCAGAUUUUCUUUUAAAUUGACAUCAUCAUUGUAGCUAUGAGGAGAAAAUGUUUCUUAAUAAAUGUGACCUUAAAAAGUAAAUAGGAAGAGAAAGACUUGAUUGUAGGAAGCAGUAAGGUGGUAGAAAAAUCACAGCAGAGGUGGAGUUGAAGUCAGACAGUGUUCAGUUCCAACCAGAUCUGUCACCUAAUAGUUUUGUGAUCUUAGUAAGAGUUCAAGCACAUACUAAGCCUCAAGCUUCUUUAAAAUGAACAUAAAGCCCAUUUUGCAUAGGAGAGUGUUAGGAACAGUAAUGUUUAAAAGUGCCUGACCCCACUCUAAACCAUUAAAUACCUUAACCCUCACAGUGCUCAAUAUAACAGAGCAAGCAGAAUUUGCAUCCCCUUGCUUCUGAUGUCUGUCUGUCAGUCACCACCCUGAACACAGCUGCUGUAACAAGCACAAAUGGGGGGGGGGGUUCUAUUCAGCUCUGAAGAACUUGGCAUCUAAAGUUGAUGGAACACAAGGAAAAUCCUAUUUAUUUCUCCUAACUUGCUACAAGGUAUUGGCAGUCUGGUUGUCUGUGGGUAAACUUAAUAUCUUGAUUAGCUCUCCUGAGAAUGCUUCUGGAAACUGCUGUAUGAAGUGGGAAGUAGAAAACUGGCUAAUACCUAUGGUGGCUUCAGAAUAGUCUGUGGAGGUCUAGCUGCUUAGAAUUGUAAGAUGUGUGUUACCUUGACAACCACAGGCAGCCCAAGGCUGGGUUUUGUGUGGCUUUAGAUGCCUUUGCAAUUCCUUAUGGGGAUGAAUGAUUUGUAUGUCUAAUCAAUGAAUGGUGAAGACAUGUUACUUAACAAGAUUAAUGAAGCUCACAUAAGGCAUUUUGUCUGCUAGGCCCAAUGUUGUGGCUUCCUUAGAAACAUGGUUAAUGUGUCUAGAAUGUUGGUCCCAGGGAGGACCAAAACCUUCUUUAGCACUAGAUGAAAUUUCAUACUGGGACCAUAAGUAUAUUUUUCAGUUGCUUCAUACAUAAUCUCAGAAUCUAGAUUAAUCCUAGAACACUAUGAGGAAGAUUUUUUUUAAAUUACUGAUGAUUUUGAUAACACUUGGAUGACUUCUAGACCUGGUACCUCCCCUCAUUAAAUCAAUCCUGACCCUUUGUUUUUUACUAGGCUAGCAAACAAUGAAAACCAGUUUUUUGAUAUCUUUGCUCUGAGAAAAUUCUGGACCGUCAUUUUCCUUUCCCUAAUGUUCCUGACUUUCUACUUUUUUCUAUCAUGAUCUGAUUUUAUCUUCCUUUCUUGAGUUCAUGCUUAAUCCUUUCAAUCUGACUGUAAUGAACACAAAUCUCAGUCUGUAAGCACAGACAUACAUACUCUCUUCUUUUAUCUAUAAUUGAAACUUUUUUUCUUGGUUGUUGAGAGACAUUUCAAUUAGCUAUUUAUUGCUAUGUAACAAAUUACUCAAAAUCCUAAUAGUAAAACAACUUACCUUGAUUAUCUGACAUGAUUUCUGAGGAUCAGGAAGCUGGGAGCACCUGAGCUGGGUGGUUCUGCCUCAGAAUCUCUCUUGAGGUUGAAGUCAAAUGGCAACAGGACUUUCAGGCUAGAAAACUUAACCAGGACUGGAAGAUUUACUUCUAAGGCUACUCAUCACCUAGGUCUCUCUCCAGGGCUACUCUUCACCAUAGCAGCUGGCCUCCCCCUGGAGUGAGCAAUGAGAGAGACAGCCAGAAGUUCUCUUUUAUAAUCUGAUCUCAUAAAUGAUGUACCAUCACUCAUGCUUUUUUCUGCAGACUAACCCUGAUACAGUGUGGAAGAAGACUACACAAAAGUGUAAAUACCAGGAGGUGGAUCAUGGGGAGGCCACACAUGUUUUCCCUCUCCAUUUUGCUAGAUCAGGAAACUUAAUUAUAGACAACUUAAGGUUCUCUAAGCCCCAUUCCUGCAGCUGUGCGCUGCAUGUAAAUCUUUACAUAACAAUAAAUCCAGUGUGUUUUGAUUUUUUUUUUAAGAGUGUGAAGUUAAGGGGCAGGUAUAUCUGGUCUUUGGUAUUAUUAUAUAUCCACCCUGAAAACUGUUUACAAACUAUAAUAGACAUUGCUAGCAUACCUCCCACUUAACAUCCAGCAAGAGUGAGGAGCGUGAUCUGUUUAUGCCCCCAAAGACUUGCUCUUCUCACUUUAAAUGUAUUGGGACGUCCUAAGCACUCCUCAUUACGGAUCAUGUGGUUUUGAGGGGAGGAGGUAGGGCAUUACCACGGAGAGAAUGGUGAGACAUGAAUGAGAACAAGAGGACAAGAAGGCAAGGACACUAAGAAAAUAUUCACAAAGAUUAUUAUGUCAAGUUUACACAUCAAGACUUGUAUUACCCAGUAAUACAUAGGUUGUCUGUCUUGGUGCCUGUAUACUCUUACAUGAAGACACAUGUAUAUCAAAACCACAUCCUCUGGACGGCUCUGAUCACAAAGCCUCACAAUUGCCAACUUGGGCAAGGUUCUAGAAAUAUGGGCCAUACGUGACAGCCUAAAAGUUUUCUUUUGACAUUUGUUGAAAAGAAAAUCAGCUUUCUUCCUCUGAAGCUAGCAUGAAAAUGAUACUUUACCCUCCAGGAUCCUCAUAUUGUGACAAGUUGAUAAGCACUCUAUUUUCACCCUCCUAUUUUCUCCAUCAUAAAUAGGUUUCCAUUUGUAAAUUCUGUGCACAUUUUCUCCUAGAAGCAGGAAAGACGGCACACUGCCCUAUUUUAGCUCAGUGGGGCAAGAGCAUUGGAGAAGAUGAAGGGUGACUAUUACCUACCAUGAGUGUGUCUGAAUGAUGGUGCCCACAAAAUCAGAAUGUACAUUCAUGGGGAAAGCACCCGCAUGACAUACCAGUCUAUAUUCUUGCAAUAGCUAAUUUUAUAUAAUCCAGUUUAUGGCUUUAAGGAUAUAUCUGAGUCUGGUGGAGUGAAUAAAACCACAUACAUGAAUCAUCUGAUCUGUGAACAGAUGAUUUGCAACAUUACUUUCCAAAAGGGAUUUGGAAGUGAUUUAGCUCAUUCUACCCUGAUACCUAACCAUUUUCUUUGUCUUUCUUCCAUCCUUAACUUAUACAUUUUUGACCCACUUGCUUAGUUUCUUAAUCAAUACAUUAGCCCUUCCCACUAGUAUAGCGUUUGAUUUGGAAAGCACUAUGGAGAACAUACUCUUUAGUGUGGUCCCAGGACUGUUUCCCAGGUAUUGCCAAGAGUUGACAUCCAUGUGGAUGUGGCAUAGAUUUUCAGGGUAAGCUGAAAACUGAUAUAUAAAUGUUUUGUUACCAUGUUGUAAUUUCACCUACUUCUUUGCAAACACUACAGAAAAAGACAAACAGAGAUGUGUUGGGAAAGCAGCACUGUCAAAAGGCUAAAUUCUGUGGUAGGAAAAUGCUAAAUAAGUGCUUGAAUAAAUUGCC